rnacentral:rRNA from 1 species
AACGAACGCUGGCGGCAGGCUUAACACAUGCAAGUCGAACGCGUGUAGCAAUACACGAGUGGCGCACGGGUGAGUAACACGUGGAUAUCUGCCUUUUGGUUCGGAAUAACCCUGGGAAACUAGGGCUAAUACCGAAUGGUUCCUACGGGAUAAAGAUUUAUCGCCAAAAGAUGAGUCCGCGUCCGAUUAGCUAGUUGGUG